rnacentral:lncRNA from 1 species
AGGUUACUUGGUACAGUGGUCGACAAAACGUUGAAAUGUUGAUGUUUAAGGGCUGUUGAUUGCUGGCAGCAAAGAAGUCCAACUGUGCUGGCACCCGAGAUAGCGUCUUCACAUUUUCUUCCAGGAUCAUCACCUUUGUUCUAAAUAGCUCCCACAUAGUGUGAACAGAAGUCACAUGUUUUAGAUUUUCUGCCUUGGCACCCAGGAAACCAGUAUGAUUGAGUAAACAUAUUAAACUUCCUCUGCAUUUCCAGCCUGAACAGAUGUUAAGUACGAACUGAUCCACCUACAUUCAACCCGAGAGAGUCCACAUCCACAGACCGUUUCAUUUCCCUUUUUCAAUUUACAUAGAAGCAUAGAUUCUUGCUGGCAUAUAUAAAUGCACCAUUUAAGGCAAUCAAAAAUGGUUCCACAUCUCACUUGAUUUCCACAAUUGUUGCUGUAACGAUGGACUACUGAGGAGAGAAACUUAAUUUCUCUGGCAGAUCUUCUCACGUUUAAGCAACAUGUUCAUGGAGAGCCAAUAUUCAGUAAUUACAGCACAAUUCCUCACAAUUUCACAAUUCACUAACAGUAUGCAUUUUCACAAUGUAAAGCUGAUUUUCCUUUAACCAAAUAAAACAUGAAAAGAUAGCUGCAAGCAAUGGGCAAUCUAGAUCAUUAGAUGAUUGAUGUAAAAUUAGAGGACAUUGAGACUGGAAUAGAUUGCAAACAUCAGGGAGCUCAGAAAACUUGUAAACUCUACAUUUUGAGGAAAUAUGUUGUUGAUGCUUUUGCAGCUCUAUGCAGCAACCUAACAAAUAAAGGCUUAAAAUAAUUUA